GACGAACCGAGCGAACGUUAUUCGGAAUCACUGGGCUUAAAAGGGCGCGUAGGCGGGCUGCCAAGUCCGGGGUGAAAUCCUCCCGCUUAACGGGAGAACUGCCUCGGAUACUGGAAGUCUCGAGGAGGGUAGGGGCACGCGGAACUGUGGGGUGGAGCGGUGAAAUGCGUUGAUAUCCAUAGGAACUCCGGUGGCGAAGGCGGCGUGCUGGACCCUUUCUGACGCUGAGGCACGAAAGCGUGGGGAGCAAACAGG
rnacentral:rRNA from 1 species